ACUGCGAAGGAGGAAGGAGUGCGCGCCGGUGCGAGAGUGUACAGUGGCAAGUGUAGUGACGGCGACCGGGGAAGAGUAGCGAUUAGCGGAGGACCCGUUGACGUUGAAUGUGCAGAGGAGCUAAUAAAGCCAUUAAAGCAGCAAAUCGGUGCUUCGUGCCUUUAUUGUUGCCGCCGACGAGAGAAGGGAGUUAACCCCGAGGAGGACAACCUCGGCCCUGGAGAAGGCGUCUCCCCUGCGUCUCCUGACCACGGUCAAGGUCAGCCCACAUGCUCGUCCCAUCCCCUCCUCUCAUCAGGACGUGGUAGGUGAAGUAAUAGAUGCCAGGCAGAGGACAGGCCGGCGUAGAAGGCGAUCUUGGGAGUGUACAAUGAAGGGCCAUAGCCACCAGGCCCAGGCCCCGGCGGCCCAUGUGGUCCGGGCUUCCCGGGCUCUCCGGGGGGACCUUUAGGACCUGGGGGAC